UUUUUAGUGCAAAUAUGUCCCAUGCAAUAUUUGGCACAUACUUACACUAAAG
rnacentral:pre_miRNA from 1 species